ensembl:lncRNA
GUGUGAUGGUGAAUGUUGGUGUGUGAUGGUGAAUAAUGUUGGUGUGUGAUGGUGAAUGUUGGUGUGUGAUGGAGAAUGUUGGUGUGUGAUGGUGAAUGUCGGUGUGUGAUGGUGAAUGUCGGUGUGUGAUGGAGAAUGUCGGUGUUUGAUGGAGAAUGUCGGUGUGUGAUGGUGAAUGUUGGUGUGUGAUGGUGAAUGUUGGUGUGUGAUGGAGAAUGUUGGUGUGUGUGAUGGUGAAUGUCGGUGUGUGUGAUGGAGAAUGUUGGUGUGUGAUGGUGAAUGUUGGUGUGUGAUGGAGAAUGUUGGUGUGUGAUGGUGAAUGUUGGUGUGUGAUGGAGAAUGUUGGUGUGUGAUGGUGAAUGUCGGUGUGUGAUGGAGAAUGUUGGUGUUUGAUGGAGAAUGUUGGUGUGUGAUGGUGAAUGUUGGUGUGUGAUGGUGAAUGUUGGUGUGUGAUGGUGAAUGUUGGUGUGUGAUGGUGAAUGUUGGUGUGUGAUGGUGAAUGUUGGUGUUUGAUGGUGAAUGUUGGUGUGUGAUGAAGAAUGUUGGUGUGUGAUGGUGAAUGUUGGUGUGUGAUGGUGAAUGUUGGUGUGUGAUGGUGAAUGUUGGUGUGUGUGAUGGUGAAUGUUGGUGUGUGAUGGUGAAUGUUGGUGUUUGAUGGUGAAUGUUGGUGUGUGAUGGUGAAUGUUGGUGUGUGAUGGUGAAUGUUGGUGUUUGAUGGUGAAUGUUGGUGUGUGAUGAAGAAUGUUGGUGUGUGAUGGUGAAUGUUGGUGUGUGAUGGUGAAUGUUGGUGUGUGAUGGUGAAUGUUGGUGUGUGGUGGAGAAUGUUGGUGUGUGAUGGUGAAUGUUGGUGUGUGAUGGUGAAUGUUGGUGUGUGAUGGUGAAUGUUGGUGUGUGGUGGUGAAUGUUGGUGUUUGAUGGAGAAUGUUGGUGUGUGGUUGAGAAUGUUGGUGUUUGAUGGAGAAUGUUGGUGUGUGAUUGAGAAUGUUGGUGUUUGAUGGAGAAUGUUGGUGUGUGGUUGAGAAUGUUGGUGUCUGAUAGUGAAUGUUGGUGUGUGACUCAGAGUGCUAGGGUUGACCGUGAAUGUCAGUGUUCGAUGAAUGUUGUCAUUUGAUGCUAAAUUUUUAUCUUUAAAGGAAAUUUUUGUG